UGGGGAAUAUUGGACAAUGGGGGGAACCCUGAUCCAGCCAUGCCGCGUGUGUGAAGAAGGCCUUAUGGUUGUAAAGCACUUUAAGCGAGGAGGAGGGUACUGGUAUUAAUACUACCAGGUACUGGACGUUACUCGCAGAAUAAGCACCGGCUAACUCUGUGCCAGCAGCCGCGGUAAUACAGAGGGUGCGAGUGUUAAUCGGAUUUACUGGGCGUAAAGCGUGCGUAGGCGGCUAAUUGAGUCGGAUGUGAAAUCCCCGAGCUUAACUUGGGAAUUGCAUUCGAUACUGGUUAGCUAGAGUGUGGGAGAGGAUGGUAGAAUUCGAGGUGUAGCGGUGAAAUGCGUAGAGAUCUGGGGGAAUACCGAUGGCGAAGGCAGCCAUCUGGCCUAACACUGACGCUGAGGUACGAAAGCAUGGGGAGCAAACAGG
rnacentral:rRNA from 1 species